rnacentral:rRNA from 1 species
GUGGGGAAUCUUGCGCAAUGGGCGAAAGCCUGACGCAGCGACGCCGCGUGGGUGAUGAAGGCCUUCGGGUCGUAAAGCCCUGUGGGGAGGGACGAACAAGCCUUGACCUAAUACGUCGGGGCCCUGACGGUACCUCCUUAGCAAGCACCGGCUAACUCUGUGCCAGCAGCCGCGGUAAGACAGAGGGUGCAAACGUUGCUCGGAAUUACUGGGCGUAAAGCGCGUGUAGGCGGCUCACUAAGUCGGGUGUGAAAUCCCUCGGCUCAACCGAGGAAGCGCACUCGAUACUGGCGAGCUCGAGUACCGGAGAGGGUCGUGGAAUUCCUGGUGUAGAGGUGAAAUUCGUAGAUAUCAGGAGGAACACCGGCGGCGAAGGCGGCGACCUGGACGAGUACUGACGCUCAGACGCGAAAGCGUGGGUAGCAAACAGGAUUAGAAACCCGUGUAGUCC